CGAAACAAAGAAGAUUAAAAAGACACAGUUACCUGCUGAGCUGCCGAUCAUCCACUGACCAACCGCUGUCGUCCCACAGGAGCUGGAACCUCCCACCCUCCUCGUGGAAGUGAACACCUCGGCCCGGCUGACGUGCCUCGCCGUGUGGAAACCUUCAUCGGUGCAGCCGCCCGCUGAGGAACCAGCAGCUGCUGCGACGACAUCUGAAGAACUCGCUCGAGAGCUUUUAAAGACCAAGAGAGUUCGAAUUGCGACGGAAGUAGUCGUUCUGGAAGACGAGAGCAAACCCAGAAAGAAGAAGAAAAAGGCAGUUGGAAAAUGAAAUGAGCAGCAAUAAAGAAAACAUCUUUCAAAAAUGUA